CUAGUUUGAAAGAUGUGAAAAACCAGUAACAAGCCCGUACUUAAUGCAGGGAGGCCAAACAAAAAAUUAUCUAACAGAGGCAGAACCAGUUUGUGACAUUAGUCCUGCUGCUGAUGAAGGUGGCUCGAUAUUCCUGACUGGGGGCGGUAAGGAGUAUGUUUACCAGGAAACAAGUGAUUUUGAUGGUGUCAUUGAGGAUAUAACUGUCUCGCUUUUUAUUAAGCCACUUGAGAAGAAGAUUUCUCAUGAAGUGUUUU